rnacentral:rRNA from 1 species
CCUACGGGUGGCAGCAGUGAGGAAUAUUGGUCAAUGGACGAGAGUCUGAACCAGCCAAGUAGCGUGAAGGAUGACUGCCCUAUGGGUUGUAAACUUCUUUUAUAUGGGAAUAAAACGUUCCACGUGUGGGAUUUUGUAUGUACCAUAUGAAUAAGGAUCGGCUAACUCCGUGCCAGCAGCCGCGGUAUACGGAGGGUCCGAACGUUAUCCGGAAUUAUUGGGGUUAAAGGGGGCGUAGGUGGAUUGUUAAGUUAGUUGGGAAAGUUUGCGGCUCAACCGUAAGAGUGCAGUUGAAACUGGCAGUCUUGAGAACAGUAGAGGUGGGCGGAAUGCGUGGUGUAGCGGUGAAAUGCUUAGAUAUCACGAAGAACUCCGAUUGCGAAGGCAGUUCACUGGACUGCAACUGACACUGAGGCUCGAAAGUGUGGGUAUCAAACAGGAUUAGAUACCCCUGUAGUC